GACGAACGCUGGCGGCGUGCUUAACACAUGCAAGUCGAACGGAAAGGCCCUGCUCUUGUGGUGCGCGCGAGUGGCGCAAGGGUGUGAAUCACGCGAGUAACCUGCGCUUGACUUUGGGAUAACUUCAUGAAACUGGGGAUAAUAUCGGAUAUGAGCUCCUGCUGCAUGGUGGGGGUUGGAAAGUUUGGGAUGUUGGGGAUGGACUGGCGGCUUAUCAUCUUGUUGGUGGGGUAGUGGCUUACCAAGGCAUUGAGGGGUAGCCGGCCUGCGAGGGUGACCGGCGACAUUGGGACUGAGAGACGGACCAGAAGCGUAUGGGAGGCAGCAGUGGGGAAUAUUGCACAGUGGGGGGAAGUGUGAGGCAGAGACGCCGCGUGCGGGAAGACGGCUUUCGGGUUAUAAACCGUUGUCGCCUGUGACGAAGCGUGAGUGACGGUAAUGGGUAAAGAAGCACCGGCUAAAUAAGUG
rnacentral:rRNA from 1 species